UACGUAGGGUGCAAGCGUUGUCCGGAAUUAUUGGGCGUAAAGAGCGUGUAGGCGGCCAGAUAGGUCCGUUGUGAAAACUCGAGGCUCAACCUCGAGACGCCGAUGGAAACCAUCUGGCUAGAGUCCGGAAGAGGAGAGUGGAAUUCCUGGUGUAGCGGUGAAAUGCGCAGAUAUCAGGAAGAACACCCGUGGCUAAGGCGGCUCUCUAGUACGGUACUGACGCUGAGACGCGAAAGCGUGGGGAGCGAACAGG
rnacentral:rRNA from 1 species